AGUGAACGCUGGCGGUAGGCCUAACACAUGCAAGUCGAACGAGUGGCGGACGGGUGAGGAAUACAUGGGAAUCUACCUUGUCGUGGGGGAUAACGUAGGGAAACGUUCGCUAAUACCGCAUACGAUCGAAUGAGCCGAUGUCGGAUUAGCUAGUUGGGGGGGUAAAGGCCCACCAAGGCGACGAUCCGUAGCUGGUCUGAGAGGAUGAUCAGCCACACUGGAACUGAGACACGGUCCAGACUCCUACGGGAGGAAGCAGUGGGGAAUAUUGGACAAUGGGCGCAAGCCUGAUCCAGCCAUGCCGCGUGGGUGAAGAAGGCCUUCGGGUUGUAAAGCCCUUUUGUUGGGAAAGCGGUACCCAAAGAAUAAGCACCGGCUAACUUCGUGCCAGCAGCCGCGGUAAUUC
rnacentral:rRNA from 1 species